AUUUGAUGUGUUUGAAAUUGAACAAAUGGUAACAACCAUGGCAUGGAUUUGCAGGAAAAGUUUCAUUAUGCAUGGUUGUUACCAUUUGUUCAAUUUCAAACACAUCAAAUU
rnacentral:pre_miRNA from 1 species